AUUGAACGCUGGCGGCAUGCCUUACACAUGCAAGUCGAACGGUAACAGGUUAAGCUGACGAGUGGCGAACGGGUGAGUAAUGUAUCGGAACGUGCCCAGUCGUGGGGGGAUAACGUAGCGAAAGCUACGCUAAUACCGCAUACGAUCUAUGGAUGAAAGCGGGGGAUCGCAAGACCUCGCGCGAUUGGAGCGGCCGAUAUCAGAUUAGGUAGUUGGUGGGGUAAAGGGCCUACCAAGCCGACGAUCUGUAGCUGGUCUGAGAGGACGACCAGCCACACUGGGACUGAGACACGGCCCAGACUCCUACGGGAGGCAGCAGUGGGGAAUUUUGGACAAUGGCGCAAGCCUGAUCCAGCAAUGCCGCGUGCAGGAUGAAGGCC
rnacentral:rRNA from 1 species